AACAAAUAAUUUGGAAUAUUUAUUUUAUUUAAAUUAAUAUUUUUUAUAUAUAUAAAUAAAAAAUUAAAUUUAUAAGGUCAAAUUUAAAAUUUAAUUAAUAAUUUUUUAUAAAUUUUAUGAAUUUUAUAAAAAUAAAAUUAAAACUA
rnacentral:rRNA from 1 species